UUAAUAGUGCGCUCACAUCACAAAAGUUUCGCGACUGCCUCUUCGCCGGCUAGUAAUAUUACAUAGUUAUGUUGUAUGGUAUGGUGUUGUUUUAGGCAUAGAAUGUACAAAUACCUCAUAAAAUAAUUAGUAUCCAUUACAGUUGAUACAAAAAAAAACAUUUCGAUAUUUUUUUUACGCAAAGGGCUCGAAACAUGAUUAUGCCGCUUUAGAAAAUUGUUCGUGAUAAUGAUAAUAUAAAAACCAUGUGUCUUAAUUGUUAUGCUUAAUAUUUUAUACGUAUUCAAAAAUAAGAGGUAUUUGCACACAAAAUUAUCGAUGAUUGGCGAGUGUGCAAAAAUGCAAAUAGUUGGUGUUCACUUGCAAUUGAAUGAAUAUUGUACAACGCACAAAAUUUGUGAAGUGUAAGCUGGUCCCACGCCAGUGGAUUAGGUUUCGUGUAAAGCCUAUCAUUGAGGUACUUAAAUUUUUAAACCCAGGGACGGUGAUAGGUGAUCUAGAGAAAAUUCUUGCACCGAACAUUUCUAGUUCUCUUUUUCUCCAACAAUUCGAAGAUAAUAUCACUUCUGGCAGCUGAACUUUUUCGAUGUAUACAAAUCUUCAUCAGACCAAUAUUGGUGGAAGUAAUUGUCACAACUAACAUUAUGCUUGAAUAUUACUAAAUUUGGAGUGUAAAUAUAUCUGUAUAUAUCUGAUUUAACAUGUGGCGUUAAUCUAGUGCCUUUAACUGACGUUUUGUCAUCCUGCAACAAGGGUGAUUUCUUUAUGUUUUUACCAAAGAAGUAGUAGUUUUCAGUUAUGUAUGAUAAUGAUAUGUUAUUAACAAGCACACGACGUACCUAGAUCAGACAUUGUGAACUAUACCCGUCCUACCUGGCGAGCCGUCAAUGCCAAUACUUAUAGUACGAUAAGAGAAAAUGAAUUUAAUGAUGUCGAGAUUUAUUUAGACUAAAUUGUAAGUAUAUUUACGUAAGUGCCUACUUUAAGUAAAUAUUUUUAUAUGGAUUGUGUGGUUACACAAAUGUUUUAUAUUUAUAUAUAUAAAUCGGUGCCAACGUAAAUAUAUUGUUGUAAUUUGUUAUGUAGUGAUAUAAUUUUAUGAUGUAUCGUUGUCUCUGAGGGCGCCCGCGCCGCGAGCUUUAACGAGGAAUGUGCAAUCGCUGUUCUAUUGGAAUACAGUUUGGAAACAAAACCA